UACGUAGGGUGCAAGCGUUAAUCGGAAUUACUGGGCGUAAAGCGUGCGCAGGCGGUUUUGUAAGUCAGAUGUGAAAUCCCCGGGCUUAACCUGGGAACUGCGUUUGAAACUACAAGGCUAGAGUGUGGCAGAGGGGGGUGGAAUUCCACGUGUAGCAGUGAAAUGCGUAGAGAUGUGGAAGAACACCGAUGGCGAAGGCAGCCCCCUGGGUUAACACUGACGCUCAGGCACGAAAGCGUGGGGAGCAAACAGG
rnacentral:rRNA from 1 species